ACCAUUCAACCUGUCCUUUUUAAUUCACAUUUGCCCCCAAACCCUAGUCAUUUCUCAUCUGCAGCUUCCUUCGAACCCCCAUUCUCUCCCAAUUCUCUGUCAGACCCCUCUCAAACCCUAGCCACCGCCUUUAGCCACCAAUUGAAAAUCUCCCAAAUCCACGGCUUCUAAAGCCACUGGAGGCCUGUAUCCACCUACAUUGGCCUAUAUGUGUUGAGUACUAUGGUUUCAAGGCUAAAACUUGAAGAAUCUUGGCCCAGACUUUGGUCAAUCUCAAUUUUUACGGUUGUCUCCGGUCAUCUUUGACCUUUCUCCGGCCGGUCUGGCUAUUCAAGCCUGGUUCUUAACUUCUCCUGCUUAGAUCAAUAAUUGUUCAAGCCUUUCUCACCAUAUGUGUUUCUACUGAAACCGUAAUCCUUAAGGUUCUUCUAAUUUCUUUUAUAUUUGCUUAGAUCCGUGUUUGCUCUAGACUUCUAAGCGUUUUUCCCAAAGUUUCUUCCAGUACUUUACCUUCGAAACCCCUUAUCUUUUUCCGAUUUAGGGUUUUGUUAAAUAUUUCGAAGCUUUCUCUGACUUUUCUACAUGUUCUACUGUGUUUCCUUAUGUCGUUCUUUUACUUGAUUUUGCAUGUUAAAGGUCCUUGACCUUUUUGAUAUUUCUGAAAUUAUUUUGUUAAUAUUUUUGCCUUACUUUUUUUUCAUCUCUGUAUUCGAUUGAUGGUAAAAACCCUAAACUUUGGGGUUCGUUCGAGUUAUGAGACUAUUCUAAGUACUCUGUGAUUCCCUUCUACCUGUUCUGAAUCUACUAUGCAUCCCAAACCCCUAUCCGAACGUGUUUUAUAUUGAUGGAUUGUUUGAGGCAUGACAAUCUUAAUUAUUGCUGUCUAUUAUUUAAACUUGAUUCCCCAAAAAUCAUAACCUCUACGUUACCAUAAUAUCUUGUGUAUUCUUGUUUAAUUUUUAAGCACAACAACACCCCCUAUUGCUGUGCAUGCGCAGAAUUAACUAAGGCCUAUGUAUAUAGGCUCUUUGCAGUUCCUAGUCCCCGAACCCCUUUUGUGUGAAAUCAUUCAUUCAGUAGCUAUUUCCCAGAACCUCUUUCCCUCUUCUUUACUUCCCUUGUUCUUAAAGAUCUAUUUCUUCACUUGCACUCUCUCAUAGACCUAAGUUCUGCUCCCCUCUUGUGAGACUUGCCUUGGGACCCAUUGAGCUCCCCUUGAACUUGGACAUUUGAGGGUUGGCACUUUCAUACUGCACUUGUCCCUAUUCCGAUAAUACAAUUUGGGUGUAAGCACUGCCCGGAGUCCCAUUGAGGCUCUUAGGGAACUUUGGCACACUAAAAUUUGAGAAGGGC
rnacentral:lncRNA from 1 species